CACCUUUUAACAAAAACUCAACAUCACACAGGUUUAGAUUAGACUGACCACAAAAAAGACAUUGAUGUCAUAAAAUUUCUAGGAGUAGUUUGUCGCAGUGUAAAAUAUGUAACUUCCAGUUGCCAAUAGGUGGCGCUAUGACUAUAACUGAAUAUUGGCAUGUAGAUCUGUUCAGGUCAAGAGUCUUAAUCAACAUGUGAAGUUUGGGGCAGAUUGGACAUUGUAUGUCUGAGUUACAGCAACUUCCUUUUUCAUGGCGAAACAUCGAAAUUUGUUAGGCCGCCAUGGACCCGCCCUUUAACGAAACGUCAAGUCCUUCGCAAUUUAUUAUCGCAAAGGGCUUUAGAUUACACUGACCAAGUUUGGUGUUGAUCUGAAUAAAUCUCUAGGAGGAGUGCGUUAAAGUACAACCCCUGAAAAUGGCAAAAACAACACCAAUUUUGAAGGAAAAAUUCAAAAUAACCGACUUCCUGUUGGGAUCCGGAUUUCAUACCAAGAGACUUUUUUGUAGGUAUUGGAGUGUUACCUGUGUGUACCAAUUUGUGUACAUGUACGUGAAACAUAGCUCGAGGCGCACUCCGUUGAAAGUGUAUAGGUGGCGCUAUAGAGCCAUUCUGCCACACCCGGUGGAAUAUUGGCCUGCAGAUCUGUUCAGGCCAGGACCCUUAUCACACAUGUGAAGUUUGGGGAAGAUUGGACAUUUUAUGCCUGAGUUAUAACAUCUUUUAUUCCCAUGGCGAGACAUCGAACUUCGUCGCGGCGCCAUGAACAAGCCUUUUAACGAAAACUCAAGAUCUUCACAACUGAACAUUGCACAGGCCUUUAGAUUACACUGACCACAAAAAACACAUUGAUGUCAUAAAAUUUCUAGGAGUAGUUCGUCGCAGCGUAAAAUAUGUCACUUCCUGUUGCCAAUAGGUGGCGCUAUGACUAUAACUGAAUAUGGUCGUGUCAAACUGUUCAGGACAGGAGUCUCAUCAAACAUGUGAAGUUUGGGGCAGAUUGGUCAUUGUAUGUCUGAGUUAUAGCAACUUCCUGUUUCAUGGCGAACCAUCGAAAUUCGCCAGGCCGCCACACACAGGCCCUUCAACGAAAACUCAAAAGCUUCGCAAUUUAACAUCGCAAAGGCCUUUAGAUUAGGCGUACCAAAUUUGGUGUUGAUCUGAAUUAAUCUCUAGGAGGAGUUCGUUAAAAUACAACGCAUGGAAAUGACAAAAAUGACACAAAAUUUGCUCAUAAUAUUAGAAAUAACCGACUUCCUGUUGGGUUUUGGAUUUUGCUCCAAGAUACUUUUUUGUAGGUAUUGGAGAGUUAUAUGUGUACCGAUUUUCAUACAUGUACAUGAAACGUAGCUCGAGGCGCACACUGUUGAACGUGUAUAGGUGGCGCUGUUGAGCCAUUUUGCCACACCCACUUCUGAAACCCAUAUCAGACGUAAAUUUUCGCCAGUUCUGAGGUGUGUGCAAAGUUUCAUGACUUUUCGAGCAUGUUUAGGCCCUCAAAAAUGCGAUUCAUUUUGGAGAAGAAGAAUAAUAAUAAUAAUAAUAAUAAUAAUAAUAAUAAUUAAAGCUGCAAGCAGCGAUGAACGGGCCCUCGCACCCGGGCUCACCGCCAUAGUGUGGCUUUAGUAAAAAGGUGAACGUUGAGAAAUAUGCAUUUAAUGUCCUAAAUAUAAGUGGAAUAUAUCAAAGUAUAUCCCAUAUAUGUGCCAAUCUUACCGUUGCCAGCAGGUGGCGCUAUCAUUAUAAUGGAAUAUUGGCCUUCAGAUGUGUUCAGGCCAGGACUCUUAUCAAACAUGUGAAGUUUGGGGAAGAUUGAACAUUUUAUGCUUGAGUUACAACAACUUCUCUUGCUGUGGCAAGACAUCAAAUUUUGUCAUGGCGCCAUGGAAACGCCCUUUAACAAAAACUCAAGAUCUCCAAAAGUUAACAUUGCACAGGCCUUUAGAUUAGACUGACCACAAAAUAUAUGUUAAUCUCAAAAAAAUUAUAGGAGUAGUUUGUCGCAGCGUAAAACAUGUCACUUCCUGUUGCCAAUAGGUGGCGCUAUGACUAUAACUGAAUGUGGGCAUGUAGAUCUGUUAAGGGCAGAAGUUUUAUCUAACAUGUGAAGUUUGGGGCAGAUUGGAC